UGAUGAGAAAUUUAAGAUUGUACCUGACUAAAAUGAAAAGAACCUUUUUGUUUUUUAGAUGCCUGCCCUGUGGCUGCCCUGGGCUACCAAUUAUGGUGCCACCUUGUCUAACUUCUCACUCUGUCCAUUUUCCUCCUCACGAAAAUUUACCUGCACAAUGUUUCAUCCCCCCAGGGCCUUGCUUCUAGUUUCUAUGGCAACAGUGAGCUAACCCACGCUUUAUGUGCCCUUCCUACCGUCUCAAGCAAGGGAGACUUUAGGAGAUGACAAUGUCUUCCUGGAAGUGAAAUGACAUUAAUGGGAAAAUCUCAAACUAAGAUUUAAGACUGAUUGUUUGAAACCAGCAAUCUGUAGUACCUCUCAAAUUAAAACAUGGAAGUCAUCUUCCUUCCUACUUCAUAUAGAGCCAACCUGGUGCCUUGUUAUUCCUAUGCUUUCCUUUGCUAAACAUCAUGUCCUAUUCGCUGUGAUCAUAGUGACAUGCUGGCUGUGGUCUGUCCUGCUGAGCGCUGUGACUGCACAGGUGAUAUCCAAAUUCAAUCAUCUAACACUUUUUCUCAACUUUCACUAAUGCAGGAAGAAGUAACACUGGAGUCAACAACAACAACAACUGCAAAACAACCUCUGGCAAUUUCUUAUCCUGUGUCUGACUGACCUCUUUUACAUCCAAGAUGGGAUCUUGCUAUGUUUCCCAGGCUGGUUUUGAACUGCUGACUUCAAGAAGUCCUCCCAUGUAGCUGUGACUACAGGCAUAAGCCACUGCGCCCAGCUUAUAUACACGGGCAUAUCAACUCCUAAGAAGUCCUCAGGGCCAUUCCCUGGAUCAGGGACUCUGUGCUGAUGGUGGUAAUGGGGCCCUCCGAUAUCAGCUUGGGAGCCAUAGCAGCUGCCUGAGAAGAAGCUGCAACUUGGAAUAGACUUGGAAGCCCCCGACACACUUGGUUCUGCAAUUUAUCCUGAGCCUAUGUCAGGUGAUUCUGCAGUCCUCAAUUAUGGCUUUGAGAGGCUAGAAGAAGUUCUCUGCUUUCCUUUCACCAUCUGCCAUGAUUGUAAAUUUACUGAGGCCUCCCUGUCAUGUCUCCUGUUAAGCCUACAGAACUGUGAGUCAAUUAAACCUCUUUUCUUCAUAGAUUACCCAGUCUCGGGUAGUCCUUUAUAGCAACGUGAGAACAAACUAAUACAUUCUAUGGCCUUAGGGUUGUGCAUAUGAGUCUAAAAUGUCAUUGUCUGCUCAAAAUAAGAAGGAGAGUUGUUAAGCUAUGCGGGAACUGGGGAAAAUAUAAAACUAAGUACCCUGUACUUAAGUCAUACCUGUAUAGUUUAUGGGAUGAAUAUACUCAAAAGUUUUAGGUUGCAACCGUGUUGGCAUUACUGGGCAUUUUGUAUAUCUUGAGAUUUAAGGGGUCCCAAGAAAAACUCCUUCCCCAAACUUCUCCCCCAGGACUCCAUAAAAUUCUUACAUCCUGCACUUCCUUGCAAAAGGGCAGAUAUCCUUGAUUAAGAGAUGCAAGGUUACCAGUGUACUUUGUAGCUUACAUGGCAGCUCUCCAAGCUGAUUACCAGCAAUAUCUUCAUUGCUGCACCACAUUUCCUGGUUGAAAGUGCCAACCAGCAAUAUCUUCAUUGCUGCACCAUAUCUCCUGGUUGAAGGUGCCAGGGGCAAGUCAUGCAGGAACAGCACUGCCCUCUCUCUCACUUGUACUGACCAGCUCCCUGUAAGCACCAUUCUUUCAGGUUUCAAGGAAAGGAAAAGAAGCUUCUCCCACACUAGAAGGUUAGGGUACCCUGAGUUCAAGUAUGUAGGUCACCUGCUAACUUGGAGUUUUAUGUAAGACAGUUAAAUCUUAGCAUUCUUUCACAUAUUAGUGUAAAUUUAGAAGGGACUUGACAUAGGAGCAAGUAGACUUACAUUUGGACUGAAAAGCCCUGAAUUUGAAUCUCAGCUUUUCGUGUCAUAGCUGUAUGAUGUGGGGCAAGUUACAUAGCUUCUUUGAGGCUCAUUUUCUUCAUCUGUAAAAGUGGAGUCAUAAUAUUUAUCUUGCAGCAUUGUUCUAAGGAUGGAAUAACAUCUGCAGUUAUGCUUGGUACUUAGUAGGGAGUUAAUCUAUGUUUAUCUAAUAAAUAGAUCAUUACUUUAUACUUUUCAAAAUGCUUUUAUAUGUAGUAUCCAUUUGUUCUUCUAAUACCCGUAAGGUAGACAAGGGUAAGGGCAAAACCAGUAGAACCAAGGAUUUCUGACUCCCCAGUAGUAGCUCUGGUGCUUCACAAUAGUGUAAAUUUGAAGAGAACAAUGGAAUAGCACAUUCAUCUACUUAGUUUGGACUUCAACGAGUUAGAUUGAAACUGUCAGAGGGUGGUGAAUGGACUUGUCAUUCAAAUAAAACACUCAGCUGUCUCUCCAUGUUUGGGAAAUCAGUUUAUUUGCUCCCAGGUAUUGGGCUGUGUCUUAUCACUGUGCAAUUCAAAAAGUUUAUUUCAGAACUUUAACACAGAACGUUUUCCCCUUAUAAGUCCCUAGAGGCCAUCUGAAUAACCUAAGCAGUAUGCUUUGAAGUUCAUGUUGUCCCUCUGAAGCAGCUGACAGAGUGAGUGACUUACACAUUGCCAGCUCAUCUGCAUUAGGUCACAGGUUUUCUUCAAUCCCAAGAUGGAUGCAUUUUUUUGUAGUUGAUGUGCAUUUGGAACAGUUCCUUUGAAAGGACACUGGUCCUCUUCCUCAACCCAGGAGGUUCAGAGAUACACA
ensembl:lncRNA